rnacentral:rRNA from 1 species
UACGGAGGGUGCUAGCGUUGUUCGGAAUUACUGGGCGUAAAGCGCGCGUAGGCGGCUUUGUAAGUUAGAGGUGAAAGCCCGGGGCUCAACCCCGGAACUGCCUUUAAAACUGCAUCGCUUGAAUCCAGGAGAGGUGAGUGGAAUUCCGAGUGUAGAGGUGAAAUUCGUAGAGAUGUGGAGGAACACCAAUGGCGAAGGCAGCCUUCUGGGCCAACACUGACGCUCAUGCACGAAAGCGUGGGGAGCAAACAGG